GUUCCUUGUUUAGUGAAACCUCACAAUAACACACAUCUGAAGAUGCAGGUGUGUAUAAUGACUAUAGUAAUGAUGUGAUUUCAAUCUUUGGAGAAUAAAUGAAUAUUUCUUGGUUUAAUAUUUUAGUUUAUUUCUGGGCAUCUGGAAUAACGUACAUUCGUCACGCAGGCUGGUGGCGCUGUUAGGUAGAAUGUUUGUCCUCUCUCUAUCCGAAGGAGCGACGUAUCACUGUACGAAGUAUAAUCAACGCUCCUGCCAUCGUGAUAUGUUUGUGACUUACCAUUACAGUGGACACAAGGACAGCGAAGAUGGGGCAAGUGAAGAUGUUGGAUAUAACAUUCAUUCUUAAGCUACUACGAGAAUGCAAAAGAAACCUACAUAGAGGAGUUUAAAUUAUCUUCUGGAGGACUUAAGGUCAAGUGGGUCGACGUAAGAGAACAAGUCUUCAUGCCAGGAAUUGUGUUGUUUAACAGACGAUGGUCCGUUGGAUCUGAUGACUUCGUCUUGCCAGCCAUCUUUCUUCUACUCCUUCACACUGUCUGGUUGAUAGUCCUGUCCGUCAUUUUAACGGUGGUGGACUUUGGUCAGUGGUCUCAAUGCAUGAUCGACCUGUACGAACAUGUCUUAGGCUACAUCGUCAUUCUGACUGGAUGUAUCAUUGUGGAAGGGUUCAUUUCGUGGAUCAGCAUGAGAGGCACCAUACUGGACAACAGACCUCGAGUGUCCAUGCAGUACUUGCUUUACGUACGGUUAGGUAUUUUAUUGGUGGAAGUGGCAUGGUUAAUCGUUGGAGUUGUCUGGAUCAGUCGUCAUUACCACACCUGUCCAAUGAAUCUCGCUAAAGAAGCCAUUUUAGGUAUCGUGAUCUGUAACUGGUGUGUUCUGCUGAGUGUCGUUAUCACAAUCUGGUGUACGUUUGAUGCAGCUGGUAGAUCUUGGGUAAAAAUGAAGAGGUACCAAAGAAGUCUUCGAGAGGACAGAUCCAAGUAUAGAUACAAGCGAUCAGGUAGCUCUCAUCGCAACUGGAGACACAGGAAGGCAACGAGAGAGUAUCAGGACAGUUGGAACAGGAGGUGUAGGUUAUUGUUCUGCUGCAUGGGACGGACAGACAGACAUCAGAAUUCUUUUGCAGAAAUAGCCAAACUUCUGUCUGAGUUUUUCCGGGAUCUGGAUGUUGUUCCUUCUGACGUUGUGGCAGGACUAGUCCUCUUACGGAAGUACCAGAGGAUGGAGAGGCAAGCAAUUGUUAAAGAGAGGACUAAUGAAACCUAUCAGUUCUUGUCUGGCGUUCCCAUCACACCUAAAACCAAGUUUCUUGAUAUAAAUCAUCCGUUAAUUGUAGACGAGAUACACACAAUCACUCACUACCUACAUUACGCCUUGGCUGUCUAUGGAUGGCCGAUGUUCAUGAUGGUUCAUAGCGGAACUUGCUGUUGCAAGCUUUUCCCGUAUCUCAGGUUGGUGAAACGCCAUUUUUGGUGGCCUUAGACCACGAGAGGAGAACUGUGGUCGUGUCCAUUCGAGGAACAAUCUCUUUACAGGAUGUCAUCACUGACCUUAAUGCAGAUGGUGAGCAACUACCGACAGAUCCCGCACACGAAGAUUGGUUAGGACAUAAGGUUGGCCA
rnacentral:misc_RNA from 1 species